rnacentral:rRNA from 1 species
GUUUGAUCAUGGCUCAGAUUGAACGCUGGCGGCAUGCCUUACACAUGCAAGUCGAACGGCAGCACGGGGGCAACCCUGGUGGCGAGUGGCGAACGGGUGAGUAAUGCAUCGGAACGUGUCCUCUUGUGGGGGAUAACCAGUCGAAAGAUUGGCUAAUACCGCAUGAGAUCGAAAGAUGAAAGCGGGGGACCGCAAGGCCUCGCGCGAGAGGAGCGGCCGAUGCCCGAUUAGCUUGUUGGUGAGGUAAAAGCUCACCAAGGCGACGAUCGGUAGCUGGUCUGAGAGGACGACCAGCCACACUGGGACUGAGACACGGCCCAGACUCCUACGGGAGGCAGCAGUGGGGAAUUUUGGACAAUGGGCGCAAGCCUGAUCCAGCCAUGCCGCGUGUGUGAAGAAGGCCUUCGGGUUGUAAAGCACUUUCGGACGGAACGAAAUCGCGCGGAUGAAUAUUCCGCGUGGAUGACGGUACCGUAAGAAGAAGCACCGGCUAACUACGUGCCAGCAGCCGCGGUAAUACGUAGGGUGCGAGCGUUAAUCGGAAUUACUGGGCGUAAAGGGUGCGCAGGCGGCCCCGCAAGUCAGGCGUGAAAUCCCCGGGCUCAACUUGGGAAUGGCGCUUGAAACUACGAGGCUGGAGUGUGGCAGAGGGAGGUGGAAUUCCACGUGUAGCGGUGAAAUGCGUAGAGAUGUGGAGGAACACCGAUGGCGAAGGCAGCCUCCUGGGCCAACACUGACGCUCAUGCACGAAAGCGUGGGGGAGCAAACAGGAUUAGAUACCCUGGUAGUCCACGCCCUAAACGAUGACGACUAGUUGUUGGGGGAGUUAAAUCCCUUAGUAACGCAGCUAACGCGAGAAGUCGUCCGCCUGGGGAGUACG